AGGAGGAACAACUGCAGUGGCAGCGGCCAGCUCUGGAGUCCUGGAGUCAGCUCCUGCAGUGACUACAGAGCUCUCCAUCUGCAAGGCCUGGAUGCUCCGGGGUGGG
rfam:Canis lupus familiaris chromosome 11, whole genome shotgun sequence.